CUGGUGUCAGCCGCCGCGGUAAUACCAGCACCCCGAGUGGUCGGGACGAUUAUUGGGCCUAAAGCAUCCGUAGCCGGUUUUACAAGUCCUCCGUUAAAUCCAGCUGCUUAACAGAUGGGCUGCGGAGGAUACUAUAAGACUAGGAGGCAGGAGAGGCAAGCGGUACUCAGUGGGUAGGGGUAAAAUCCGUUGAUCCAUUGAAGACCACCAGUGGCGAAGGCGGCUUGCCAGAAUGCGCUCGACGGUGAGGGAUGAAAGCUGGGGGAGCAAACCGGAUUAGAUACCCGGGUAGUCCCAGCUGUAAACGAUGCAGACUCGGUGAUGGACUAGCUUUAUGCUAGUCCAGUGCCGCAGGGAAGCCGUUAAGUCUGCCGCCUGGGUAGUACGGUCGCAAGACUGAAACUUAAAG
rnacentral:rRNA from 2 species